CCAUGAAUUUUUAAUUAUAUUUAUUCAUUUUUUCCAUGUAUUUGCAACAAUUUCAUUUACAUAAAAGGUAGUUUAUUUUGUGGAGGCUGUUGGGUAGAGAAUGAUUACUCAUUAAUUCAGAGAAGAACCCUUUGGGGUUUAUAGUUAUUGAUUUUCCAACAUGGAAAUUUAUUUUAAUGCUUUAUUGCUGCCUAUCUUGCCUGUUUGUGAAACACAUAUCUGUUGAUUACAUAUGUCUGUGAAUGCCUGUCAAUGUGCAAGCUUUAAAUUAUAUUUCACUGAUAUUUAAAAGUAAAACAUAAUGCUUUUUGCCCACUAGAAAGAUGUUCUGAAGUCAGGGGAAUCUGAAAUCCUUAUUAACUUUCCAGACUUAUGUAGGUGGUUUUUUUUUUUUAAUUAAUGAGUUACUUUUUUUUCUUUAGCUUCUUCUUGAGAUAUAGAUACUGCUUUUAAUGUCCAGCAUAAGCUGAAAUGGCUAAUUUCAAAUAUCCAAUAUAAACAAAGCCAAGAGUACUUCCUCAUUUCAGCUAUGAAUGCUUUAAAUUAGCAGCAAAAUCAGAAAAUUGGAAAUCAUCAAUUAAAGGCAUAUUACUUCUCAAGUGAGAGUUUUAAUUUACAGAAAAUAUUGUCUUGCCCUUACAGUGUAUUAGCUUAUUGCAGACCAUUAGCUACAGCAGAACAUCUUUUGAAGACAGAGCACUGCGUACAUUGUCCAGUAAUUUACUGACAUAAUCCUACCUAUAAUAAAUUGCUUGAAUGGACUACAUUUACAUCUGCACUUCUCAGUGAAUACAAGAUUAAAAUCACAACUAGCGAUUGUCUCGGAGAAGGCAAUGACAAUCCAUUCCAGUACUCCUGCCUGGAAAAUCCCGUGGACGGAG